rnacentral:rRNA from 1 species
GAUGAACGCUAGCUACAGGCUUAACACAUGCAAGUCGAGGGGCAUCAGGAGGAAAGCUUGCUUUCUUUGCUGGCGACCGGCGCACGGGUGAGUAACACGUAUCCAACCUGCCCUUUACUCGGGGAUAGCCUUUCGAAAGAAAGAUUAAUACCCGAUAGCAUAAUGAUUCCGCAUGGUUUCAUUAUUAAAGGAUUCCGGUAAAGGAUGGGGAUGCGUUCCAUUAGGUUGUUGGUGAGGUAACGGCCCACCAAGCCUUCGAUGGAUAGGGGUUCUGAGAGGAAGGUCCCCCACAUUGGAACUGAGACACGGUCCAAACUCCUACGGGAGGCAGCAGUGAGGAAUAUUGGUCAAUGGGCGCUAGCCUGAACCAGCCAAGUAGCGUGAAGGAUGAAGGCUCUAUGGGUCGUAAACUUCUUUUAUAUAAGAAUAAAGUGCAGUAUGUAUACUGUUUUGUAUGUAUUAUAUGAAUAAGGAUCGGCUAACUCCGUGCCAGCAGCCGCGGUAAUACGGAGGAUCCGAGCGUUAUCCGGAUUUAUUGGGUUUAAAGGGAGCGUAGGUGGACUGGUAAGUCAGUUGUGAAAGUUUGCGGCUCAACCGUAAAAUUGCAGUUGAUACUGUCAGUCUUGAGUACAGUAGAGGUGGGCGGAAUUCGUGGUGUAGCGGUGAAAUGCUUAGAUAACACGAAGAACUCCGAUUGCGAAGGCAGCUCACUGGACUGCAACUGACACUGAUGCUCGAAAGUGUGGGUAUCAAACAGGAUUAGAUACCCUGGUAGUCCACACAGUAAACGAUGAAUACUCGCUGUUUGCGAUAUACAGUAAGCGGCCAAGCGAAAGCAUUAAGUAUUCCACCUGGGGAGUACGCCGGCAACGGUGAAACUCAAAGGAAUUGACGGGGGCCCGCACAAGCGGAGGAACAUGUGGUUUAAUUCGAUGAUACGCGAGGAACCUUACCCGGGCUUAAAUUGCAGUGGAAUGAUGUGGAAACAUGUCAGUGAGCAAUCACCGCUGUGAAGGUGCUGCAUGGUUGUCGUCAGCUCGUGCCGUGAGGUGUCGGCUUAAGUGCCAUAACGAGCGCAACCCUUAUCUUCAGUUACUAACAGGUCAUGCUGAGGACUCUGGAGAGACUGCCGUCGUAAGAUGUGAGGAAGGUGGGGAUGACGUCAAAUCAGCACGGCCCUUACGUCCGGGGCUACACACGUGUUACAAUGGGGGGUACAGAAGGCAGCUAGCGGGUGACCGUAUGCUAAUCCCAAAAUCCUCUCUCGGUUCGGAUCGAAGUCUGCAACCCGACUUCGUGAAGCUGGAUUCGCUAGUAAUCGCGCAUCAGCCACGGCGCGGUGAAUACGUUCCCGGGCCU